GACGAACGCUGGCGGCGUGCCUAAUGCAUGCAAGUCGAACGGUAACAGGGAGCUUGCUCCGCUGACGAGUGGCGAACGGGUGAGUAAUGUAUCGGAACGUACCAUUCAGUGGGGGAUAACGUAGCGAAAGUUACGCUAAUACCGCAUAUUCUGUGAGCAGGAAAGCAGGGGAUCGCAAGACCUUGCGCUGAUUGAGCGGCCGAUGUCAGAUUAGCUAGUUGGUGAGGUAAAGGCUCACCAAGGCGACGAUCUGUAGCGGGUCUGAGAGGAUGAUCCGCCACACUGGAACUGAGACACGGUCCAGACUCCUACGGGAGGCAGCAGUGGGGAAUUUUGGACAAUGGGGGCAACCCUGAUCCAGCCAUGCCGCGUGAGUGAAGAAGGCCUUCGGGUUGUAAAGCUCUUUCGGCCGGGAAGAAAUCGCAUGGGUUAAUACCCUGUGCGGAUGACGGUACCGGCAUAAGAAGCACCGGCUAACUACGUG
rnacentral:rRNA from 1 species